rnacentral:rRNA from 1 species
UGGGGAAUAUUGCACAAUGGGCGCAAGCCUGAUGCAGCCAUGCCGCGUGUAUGAAGAAGGCCUUCGGGUUGUAAAGUACUUUCAGCGAGGAGGAAGGCGUUGUGGUCAAUAAACGCAGCGAUUGACGUUACUCGCAGAAGAAUCACCGGCUAACUCCGUGCCAGCAGCCGCGGUAAUACGGAGGGUGCAAGCGUUAAUCGGAAUUACUGGAUGUAAAGCGCACGCAGGCGGUCUGUCAAGUCGGAUGUGAAAUCCCCGGGCUCAACCUGGGAACUGCAUCCGAAACUGGCAGGCUAGAGUCUUGUAGAGGGGGGUAGAAUUCCAGGUGUAGCGGUGAAAUGCGUAGAGAUCUGGAGGAAUACCGGUGGCGAAGGCGGCCCCCUGGACAAAGACUGACGCUCAGGUGCGAAAGCGUGGGGAGCAAACA